AAGGGUAUAGCUCAGUGGUAGAGUGCAUGCUUAGCAUCCAUGAGGUCCUUAGUUCAAUUCCCAGUACCUCUA
rfam:Camelus ferus unplaced genomic scaffold scaffold307, whole genome shotgun sequence.